rnacentral:rRNA from 1 species
ACGUAGGGGGCAAGCGUUGUCCGGAAUGAUUGGGCGUAAAGGGCGCGUAGGCGGCCUGAUAAGUUUGAAGUGAAAGUCCUUCUUUUAAGGAGGGAACUGCUUUGAAAACUGUCGGGCUUGAGUGCAGGAGAGGUAAGCGGAAUUCCCGGUGUAGCGGUGAAAUGCGUAGAGAUCGGGAGGAACACCAGUGGCGAAGGCGGCUUACUGGACUGUUACUGACGCUGAGGCGCGAAAGUGUGGGGAGCAAACAG